ACGGAAGGCAGCAGUGGGGAAUAUUGCACAAUGGGGGAAACCCUGAUGCAGCGACGCCGCGUGAGGGAAGAAGGUUUUCGGAUUGUAAACCUCUGUCAACAGGGACGAUAAUGACUGUACCUGUGAAGGAAGCUCCGGCUAACUACGUGCCAGCAGCCGCGGUAAUACGUAGGGAGCAAGCGUUAUCCGGAAUUACUGGGUGUAAAGGGAGUGUAGGCGGGACUGUAAGUCAGAUGUGAAAUAUGCCGGCUCAACUGGCAGGCUGCAUUUGAAACUGCGGUUCUUGAGUGAAGUAGAGGUAGGCGGAAUUCCUAGUGUAGCGGUGAUAUGUGUAGAUAUUAGGAGGAACAUCAGUGGCGAAGGCGGCUUACUGGGCUUUAACUUACGCUGAGGCUCGAAAGCGUGGGGAGCAAACAGGAUUAGAUACCCUGGUA
rnacentral:rRNA from 1 species